CCAGCAGCUGCGGUAAUUCCAGCUCCAAUAGCGUAUAUUAAAGUUGUUGCAGUUAAAAAGCUCGUAGUUGGAUUUCUGGUAGGAUGACUGUGCCCUCAGUAGAGCGUGCGCAGGCGUCUUGCCAUCCUUCUGUUAACCUUUGAGAGCUUCAUCGCUCUCUUUGGGGCUCAGAUAUUUUACCUUGAGAAAAUUAGAGUGUUUCAGGCAGGCUUGCGCCGGAAUACAUUAGCAUGGAAUAAUAGAAUAGGACUUUAGUCUCCUUUGUUGGUUUGAGGGACUGAAGUAAUGAUUAAUAGGGAUAGUUGGGGGCAUUAGUAUUUAAUUGUCAGAGGUGAAAUUCUCGGAUUUGUUAAAGACUAACUUAUGCGAAAGCAUUUGCCAAGGAUGUUUUCAUUAAUCAAGAACGAAAGU
rnacentral:rRNA from 1 species